rnacentral:rRNA from 1 species
GACGAACGCUGGCGGCGUGCUUAACACAUGCAAGUCGAACGGAAAGGCCCUGCUUGCAGGGUACUCGAGUGGCGAACGGGUGAGUAACACGUGGGUGAUCUGCCCUGCACUUCGGGAUAAGCCUGGGAAACUGGGUCUAAUACCGGAUAGGAGCCAUUUUUAGUGUGAUGGUUGGAAAGUUUUUUCGGUGUAGGAUGAGCUCGCGGCCUAUCAGCUUGUUGGUGGGGUAAUGGCCUACCAAGGCGGCGACGGGUAGCCGGCCUGAGAGGGUGGACGGCCACAUCGGGACUGAGAUACGGCCCAGACUCCUACGGGAGGCAGCAGUGGGGAAUAUUGCACAAUGGGCGCAAGCCUGAUGCAGCGACGCCGCGUGGGGGAUGACGGCCUUCGGGUUGUAAACUCCUUUCGCUAGGGACGAAGCUUUUUGUGACGGUACCUAGAUAAGAAGCACCGGCUAACUACGUG